rnacentral:rRNA from 1 species
UACGUAGGGGGCAAGCGUUGUCCGGAAUUAUUGGGCGUAAAGAGCGUGUAGGCGGUCCGGUAAGUCAGCUGUGAAAGUCAAGGGCUCAACCCUUGAAUGCCGGUUGAUACUGUCGGGCUAGAGUCCGGAAGAGGCGAGUGGAAUGCCCGGUGUAGCGGUGAAAUGCGCAGAUAUCGGGAGGAACACCUAUGGCGAAGGCAGCUCGCUGGGACGGUACUGACGCUGAGACGCGAAAGCGUGGGGAGCAAACAGG